rnacentral:rRNA from 1 species
CACGUGGGUGAUCUGCCCUGCACUCUGGGAUAAGCCUGGGAAACUGGGUCUAAUACCGGAUAUGACCUCUUGCUGCAUGGCGAGGGUGGAAAGUUUUUCGGUGCAGGAUGAGCCCGCGGCCUAUCAGCUUGUUGGUGGGGUAAUGGCCUACCAAGGCGACGACGGGUAGCCGGCCUGAGAGGGCGACCGGCCACACUGGGACUGAGACACGGCCCAGACUCCUACGGGAGGCAGCAGUGGGGAAUAUUGCACAAUGGGCGAAAGCCUGAUGCAGCGACGCCGCGUGAGGGAUGACGGCCUUCGGGUUGUAAACCUCUUUCAGCAGGGACGAAGCGAAAGUGACGGUACCUGCAGAAGAAGCACCGGCCAACUACGUG